rnacentral:rRNA from 1 species
AUACGUAGGUGGCAAGCGUUGUCCGGAAUUAUUGGGCGUUAAAGCGCGCGCAGGUGGUUUCUUAAGUCUGAUGUGAAAGCCCACGGCUCAACCGUGGAGGGUCAUUGGAAACUGGGAGACUUGAGUGCAGAAGAGGAUAGUGGAAUUCCAAGUGUAGCGGUGAAAUGCGUAGAGAUUUGGAGGAACACCAGUGGCGAAGGCGACUAUCUGGUCUGUAACUGACACUGAGGCGCGAAAGCGUGGGGAGC